rnacentral:rRNA from 1 species
UACGUAGGGUGCGAGCGUUGUCCGGAAUUAUUGGGCGUAAAGGGCGCGUAGGCGGCCUUCUAAGUCAGACGUGAAAUCCCCCGGCUUAACCUGGGAACUGCGUCUGAUACUGGGAGGCUAGAGUGCGGGAGAGGGAUGCGGAAUUCCAGGUGUAGCGGUGAAAUGCGUAGAUAUCUGGAGGAACACCGGUGGCGAAGGCGGCAUCCUGGACCGACACUGACGCUGAGGCGCGAAAGCUAGGGUAGCAAACGGG